rnacentral:rRNA from 1 species
ACGGAGGGUGCAAGCGUUAAUCGGAAUUACUGGGCGUAAAGCGCAUGUAGGCGGUUUGUUAAGUCAGAUGUGAAAUCCCCGGGCUCAACCUGGGAAGUGCAUUGGAUACUGGCAAGCUUGAAUACGGUAGAGGGUGGUAGAAUUCCUGGUGUAGCAGUGAAAUGCGUAGAGAUCAGGAGGAAUACCGGUGGCGAAGGCGGCCCCCUGGACGAAGACUGACGCUCAGGUGCGAAAGCGUGGGUAGCAAACAG